GAUGAACGCUAGCGGCAGGCCUAAUACAUGCAAGUCGAACGGUGUCUUCGGACAUAGUGGCGCACGGGUGCGUAACACGUAUGCAACCUACCUUACAUUGGGGGAUAGCCUUUCGAAAGGGAGAUUAAUACCGCAUAAGACAGUAGCUGGGCAUCCAGCAGCUGUUAAAGAUUUAUCGAUGUAAGCUGGGCAUGCGUCCAAUUAGCUAGUUGGUGAGGUAACGGCUCACCAAGGCAAUGAUUGGUAGGGGAGCUGAGAGGUCAAUCCCCCACACUGGCACUGAGAUACGGGCCAGACUCCUACGGGAGGCAGCAGUAGGGAAUAUUGGGCAAUGGACGCAAGUCUGACCCAGCCAUGCCGCGUGCAGGAUGAAGGCGUUAUGCGUUGUAAACUGCUUUUAUACAGGAAGAAACGACUCUUGCGAGAGGCAUUGACGGUACUGUAUGAAUAAGCACCGGCUAAAUACGUGCCAGCCGCCGCGGUAACAC
rnacentral:rRNA from 1 species